CCUACGUGAGGCAGCAGUGAGGAAUAUUGGUCAAUGGGCGCGAGCCUGAACCAGCCAAGUAGCGUGAAGGAUGACUGCCCUACGGGUUGUAAACUUCUUUUAUAAAGGAAUAAAGUGAGGCACGUGUGCCUUUUUGUAUGUACUUUAUGAAUAAGGAUCGGCUAACUCCGUGCCAGCAGCCGCGGUAAUACGGAGGAUCCGAGCGUUAUCCGGAUUUAUUGGGUUUAAAGGGAGCGUAGAUGGGUUGUUAAGUCAGUUGUGAAAGUUUGCGGCUAAACCGUAGAAUUGCAAUUGAUACUGGCAGUCUUGAGUACAGUUGAGGUAGGCGGAAUUCGUGGUGUAGCGGUGAAAUGCUUAGAUAUCACGCAGAACUCCGAUUGCGAAGGCAGCUUACUAAACUGCCACUGACGUUGAUGCUCGAAAGUGUGGGUAUCAAACAGGAGUAGAUACCCUUGUAGUC
rnacentral:rRNA from 1 species